rnacentral:rRNA from 1 species
GACGAACGCUGGCGGCGUGCCUAAUACAUGCAAGUCGAACGAAGUGGCGAACGGGUGAGUAACGCGUAAUCAACCUGCCCUUCAGAGGGGGACAACAGUUGGAAACGACUGCUAAUACCGCAUACUGAAGGAGGGGAUUGCGGCUGAUUAGCUAGUUGGAGGGGGAACGGCCCACCAAGGCGAUGAUCAGUAGCCGGUCUGGGAGGGUGGACGGGCAAAUUGGGAAUGGGACACGGCCCAGACUCCUACGGGGGGGAGCAGUGGGGAAUCUUCCGCAAUGGACGAAAGUCUGACGGAGCAACGGCGCGUGAGUGAUGACGGCCUUCGGGUUGUAAAGCUCUGUUAAUCGGGACGCGGUACCGGAAUAGAAAGCCACGGCUAACUACGUGCCAGCAGCCGCGGUAAUAC